rnacentral:rRNA from 1 species
GACGAACGCUGGCGGCGUGCCUAAUGCAUGCAAGUCGCACGCGGCACCUUCGGGUGCUGAGUGGCGAGCGGCUGAGGAACACGUGGGGACCUGUCCGGGAGUGGGGGACAACACCGCGAAAGCGGUGCUAAUCCCGCAUACGCUCUGAGGAGGAAAGCCGAAAGGCGCUCCCGGGUGGCCCUGCGGCCCAUCAGGUUGUUGGUGGGGUAACGGCCUACCAAGCCAAUGACGGGUCGCUGGUCUGUGAGGACGACCAGCCAGACUGGGACUGGGACACGGCCCAGACUCCUACGGGAGGCAGCAGCAAGGAAUUUUCGGCAAUGGGCGCAAGCCUGACCGAGCAACGCCGCGUGCAGGAAGACGGCCUUCGGGUUGUAAACUGCUUUUGCUAGGGAGGAUAACAGACAGUACCUGGCGAAUCAGCCCCGGCUAACUCUGUG